ensembl:snRNA U6 U6 spliceosomal RNA
UCACUUUGACAGUGCAUAUGCUAAAAUUGGAAUAAUACAGAGAAGAUUAGCAUGGCCCUUCACAAGCACGAUGUGCAAAUUCUUGAGGCAUUCCUUUUUUUU